rnacentral:lncRNA from 1 species
AAACUCAGAUCUCAACACGCAUUUAUGAGAAAGUGAAAGUGAAGGACAAACAGACAAAGGAGAGGAGAAGACUCACGGAAACAGCUCGACAUUUCCAGCGGUGUGAAUCAAUCCUGCGGCGCCACACACGACAGGUUCCUGUUUUUCUGGCAGCUUCCUGACGAGUGAAAGGUGACAAUCGUGCUCAUUCUACAGGAUUCACUCUUAAAGCUUUUUUCUGCGGGUUCUUGUGUGUUCAGUAUGGCUACGGUAGGAGUGGAUGUGAUGGAGACCGCAGCUCUAGGGAGAUCCUUCCAGCUGGGGAUGCUGUACGACUGCAGGAAAGAUGCUCUUAUACCAGGUACCUUACCGUAGUGAAAAUACAUUUGGGAUACACUUCAGUGAAAUGCAUCAUUGUUUCAGCUGUUUAAACUGAAACAUCUGUUAUAAUGCUUGAUGUUGCAAACUGGUAUUUCAUAUAAUAUACUGUAAAUAUAUAUAUACUAUAUAUAUAUAUAUAUAUAUAUAUACAUACACA